rnacentral:rRNA from 1 species
AACAGGGAUUGCCUCAGUAGCGGCGAGUGAAGCGGCAAAAGCUCAAAUUUGAAAUCUGGCGUCUUUGGCGUCCGAGUUGUAAUUUGAAGAAGGUAUCUUUGGGCCCGGCUCUUGUCUAUGUUCCUUGGAACAGGACGUCACAGAGGGUGAGAAUCCCGUGCGAUGAGAUGACCCGGGUCUGUGUAAAGUUCCUUCGACGAGUCGAGUUGUUUGGGAAUGCAGCUCUAAGUGGGUGGUAAAUUCCAUCUAAAGCUAAAUAUUGGCGAGAGACCGAUAGCGAACAAGUACAGUGAUGGAAAGAUGAAAAGAACUUUGAAAAGAGAGUGAAAAAGUACGUGAAAUUGUUGAAAGGGAAGGGCUUGAGAUCAGACUUGGUAUUUUGCAUGUUGCUCUCUCGGGGGCGGCCGCUGCGGUUUACCGGGCCAGCAUCGGUUUGGAGCGGCAGGAUAAUGGCGGAGGAAUGUGGCACGGCUUCUGCUGUGUGUUAUAGCCUCUGACGAUACUGCCAGCCUAGACCGAGGACUGCGGUUUUUUACCUAGGAUGUUGGCAUAAUGAUCUUAAGUCGCCCGUCUUGAAACACGGACCAAGGAGUCUAACGUCUAUGCGAGUGUUUGGGUGUAAAACCCGUACGCGUAAUGAAAGUGAACGAAGGUGGGGGCCUAUUAGGGUGCACCAUCGACCGAUCCUGAUGUGUUCGGAUGGAUUUGAGUAAGAGCAUAGCUGUUGGGACCCGAAAGAUGGUGAACUAUGCCUGAAUAGGGUGAAGCCAGAGGAAACUCUGGUGGAGGCUCGUAGCGGUUCUGACGUGCAAAUCGAUCGUCGAAUUUGGGUAUAGGGCGAAAGACUAAUCGAACCA